rnacentral:rRNA from 1 species
UACGUAGGGAGCGAGCGUUGUCCGGAAUUACUGGGCGUAAAGGGCGCGUAGGCGGCCCGCUAAGUCGAACGUGAAAUCCCCGGGCUCAACCCGGGAACUGCGUCCGAUACUGGUGGGCUUGAAUCCGGGAGAGGGAUGCGGAAUUCCAGGUGUAGCGGUGAAAUGCGUAGAUAUCUGGAGGAACACCGGUGGCGAAGGCGGCAUCCUGGACCGGUAUUGACGCUGAGGCGCGAAAGCCAGGGGAGCAAACGGG